rnacentral:rRNA from 1 species
CACGUAGGGCGCAAGCGUUGUCCGGAAUUAUUGGGCGUAAAGAGCUCGUAGGCGGUCUGUUGCGUCCGCUGUGAAAUCUCGGGGCUUAACCCCGAGCCUGCAGUGGAUACGGGCAGACUAGAGGUAGGUAGGGGAGAAUGGAAUUCCCGGUGUAGCGGUGAAAUGCGCAGAUAUCGGGAGGAACACCGGUGGCGAAGGCGGUUCUCUAGUACGGUACUGACGCUGAGACGCGAAAGCGUGGGGAGCGAACAGG